rnacentral:rRNA from 1 species
GGGAGGCAGCAGUGGGGAAUAUUGCACAAUGGGCGCAAGCCUGAUGCAGCCAUGCCGCGUGUGUGAAGAAGGCCUUCGGGUUGUAAAGCACUUUCAGCGGGGAGGAAGGCGGUGAGGUUAAUAACCUUGGCGAUUGACGUUACCCGCAGAAGAAGCACCGGCUAACUCCGUGCCAGCAGCCGCGGUAAUACGGAGGGUGCAAGCGUUAAUCGGAAUUACUGGGCGUAAAGCGCACGCAGGC